rnacentral:rRNA from 1 species
GACGAACGCUGGCGGCGCGCUUAACACAUGCAAGUCGAGCGAAGCGGCGGACGGGUGAGUAACACGUGAGUAACCUGCCUUAGACAUUGGGAUAGCCUCGGGAAACCGGGAUUAAUACCAAAUGGUCUAAGAUGGACUCGCGUCCCAUUCGCUAGUUGGGAGGUAACGGCCCACCAAGGGGACGAUGGGUAGCCGGACUGCGAGAGUGAACGGCCACAUUUGAGCGGGGAAACGGUCCAAACUCUGCGGGAGGCAGCAGUGGGGAAUAUUGCAAUAUGGAGGGAACUAUGAUGCAGCGACGCCGCGUGAACGAAGAAGGCUUUCGAGACGUAAAGGUCUUUUAUAUGGGAAGCGGUACCAUAAGAAAAAGCCCCGGCUAACUACGUGCCAGCAGCCGCGGUAAUUC